GGUCCAAUGCCACGUCGCUGGUAGCUAUAUAUUUGCAUUGACCUGCGAUGCUAUGAUUGGACCAAAAGCAAGAGUGAAAUUCAUUUGUUUCGCACCCUGAUAGGAAUCUGUGGAUCCAAUAUUUUAUGAUCUGCGGAGCCGAUUUGUGCGAUUACAUUU